AGACGUCUACAUUAGAUACCCCUGUAGUCCCAGCCGUAACUAUGCUCGCUAGGUGUCAGGCAUGGCGCGACCGUGUCUGGUGCCGCAGGGAAGCCGUGAAGCGAGCCACCUGGGAAGUACGGCCGCAAGGCUGAACUUAAGGAAUUGGCGGGGAGCACAACACGGGUGGAGCCUGCGGUUUAAUUGGACUCAACGCCGGACAACUCACCGGGAACGACAGCAAUAUGUAGACCAGGCUGAAGACCUUGCCUGAAUCGCUG
rnacentral:rRNA from 1 species